rnacentral:tRNA from 1 species
UCCCGUGUAGCUCAGAUAGUAGAGCAUGGUGCUUGCGAUGCCAGUGUUAUGGGUUUGAUUCCCACAGGGGAC